CGCCCUCCCCCGUCGGGCGAUCGUCCCCCCGGAGCGCGCCCAGCGACCCAGUGAGACUCAGGGGGAGACCAAAGGCAGGCAGUUCUCACCUAAAUGUGAUCCUCCCCAGCGCUCGGAAGCCCCGGUCCCCCGCGCUUUAGUCCGACGACGCAGAACUUCUCUUCGUGGCGCGCGCAGAUCCAGCUCUCAUGCUGGAAGCUCGACCUCUGAAGCGGGAUUGCGGACGAGCUGGCAGUCCUGCUCAUGCUCGGGGUGUGUGUGUGUGUGUGUGUGUGUGUCUGUGUGUGUGGUAGGGGCGGGGGGGGGCGGGCACGGACGCGGUCGCACGCACGGAUCCUCGGCGGUUGCGGGGCCGGGUUGCGUGCGUGCGUCUGUGCGCGAGAGGAGAGAGAAGGAGACGCGCGGGUUCUCCGGAGAGAAGUGAUGGGGGACGAUGCGUGGAGGUGCCGGGAGGUGGAGGAGGAGAUGCUGCUGGACCGGGCGGUGCGCCACCCUAAGGAGUGCGGGGGAUCCGUGAACUGAAGAGGAUGGGCUGAGUGAAGAGCGGGGCUCGGAGAGAUUGACUGACUGACUGAUUGAUUGAUUGACGACCGAUUGACUGAUAGAUAUGCCUAACAGAAAACCUGCUGCGCACAAUGGACGCUUUUUAGAUCCAGUGAGUAAGCCCUUAUUUGGCAGAAACCUGUGUUUAAAGUUCAGUCGUAGCAGAACAGUUCUGCAUCUCUCUUUUUAGUCCACUGUGACACAAGUAUUAAUAAUUAAUUGUCCCGAAUGCUGCAUUUCACUAUUUCUCUCUUUCGACUUUCAGCAUGUCCUACAGAUCCCCACAUGGCUCUGUCCCUGUCUACCCCCAGACUCUAAUCUCUGCUAACUGUCCACCACAAAAUCUCUGCCGUGGCUUUGGCUGCCGACUCUCUGUGUCGGUCUGGAUGCACUAAAAAUGAUUGCUCAUUUCUCUCUCAUAGUCCCCAAGCUGUGGAAUGGGCUUUCUUCAGAACAUCAAAACUGUGCUCCUCCUUCUGACCUUCAAGAAACACUUGAAGAUCCAUAUAAUCACACAGUUUGGAACUGCUUACAACGAGUUCUAGCUGUACAACCUCAUACGUAAUCUGUGUCGGUAUUGUCUUAUUUGAUUCUUUUAAUAAUUUGAAUAAAAUUGUUACCACCUUCCA
rnacentral:lncRNA from 1 species